AAACGCAGCACGUCUCCAGAACAAAAAAAGCGAAAGCCAAAACCAAAAAUCUAAAAACAACACAAGCCAAAACCAGUAAGCGUUUCUAAUUCGAAUCGACAACGCUUGAGUCGAGAGAGAAAAGACCGGAACAGUGAAGAUUCAAGAACAACAAUUCCUUGGUUCCUUCUCUAAUCUCCACCGAUGUCAUUGCAUAUUGGCAACUUAUCGUCUCACAUUCGUAGAGAUGAACUUGAGCGUGUCUUCCAAAGGUUUGGUCGGUGUAAUGUACGAAUGAAAGAUGGAUAUGGGUUUGUGGUAUAUGAAUUCCCUCCAAAUGCAGAAAAAGCUUUGAGAGCACUACAUAAGAGGAGCAUUUGUGGGAAACCACUAACUCUCUCAUGGUCAAAUAAACAGCCUAGACCACUUAAAAGAUUUGCAAGGACUGCUAGAUCUUAUGAGCCACAGCAUGGUGGGAAUUCUGACAGAGGAGGAGAUCAUGUUAAAAGAAAAUUGGGUUCCAAUGAUCAGCAAGAUUAUAGGUUGAGUUUUACUCAAGCAGAUAGGAAUAGCAGAAUACCUAGUUCUGCAGACAUGCACCAGGAAGAGAUAGUUAACCACCAGGAUGACAUUGAAGAUCACACCAACAAAGAACAUCAGGGUUAUAGAGAAGAUUUUCUAGAUGAAAGAGGUAGGGUUGGACCUGACCCAAUGGACAAUGAUAGAUGGGGUGAGCAAUUCCAUAACCCACCAAAUGAAGUUGGUGUUGAAAAUGGGGUAGAAUUUGAUAGAUAUGAUCCUUAUGAAGGUUUUGAUAGGAGAAACAAUGAUGAAAAUCUUCAGAAGGCUUAUUCUGGCGGUACUCUUGCUUUACAAAGCUCUCAAGAGAAUGCAGGGGGGGAUCACACCAGCGAUGCAACUUUAAACCGUCUUAGUGAUGUAAAAUCCCAGGAAACUUGCUACAAAUGUGGAGGCUCUGGUCACAAAAUGCGCAAUUGUCCCCAGGAAAAUGCUUCACGGAGAAAUGUCACUAGGUUUGACAGUAGGCACACUGAUGACAUCCAUAGAAGUGGUAGAGGUAAAGGCGAUCCAGAAAAAAAUGGAUCCAGGUCAUGGGAAAAGCUCCAGUCAAGUAGAGAUGCUAUACCAGGAAGGAGACUCAAGAAUGAUAAAGAAUCAUCUGGUUCAGGAAGGCAUGAAGAAGUGACAAGGAAUGGAAGAUCUGCUGUAUCAAAGGAAACUGAUUGGUCCUGUAAAAAGGAGUAUGAAAGGAAAAGACAAAGUAGGAAGGAAAUGGAAUCUCCAAAAAGACAUGGCACAAAGAAAGGGAGACGAUCAACUUCAUCUUUUCUGCAUUCUGACAACACCACAUCUAGAUUGCAUUCUACAUCUCAUUCCUCUAAGCAGCUGCAAAGGUCUCACUCCCACUCUAGAUCAAAAUCAGUAUCUUCCAGCUUAAGGUCUGGCUCAACAUCACUCUAUUCUAGAUCCCAAAGUUCUAAAACCAUGUCAAGAUCAAUAUCUCCUACAUCCCUAUCCUUGUCCGUGUCACUUGGUCAAGCUUUGCCGUCCUCUUCAAAUAAGGUACAGCUGAUCAUGAAAGGCUCAUCAGAUAAUGCUACAACACCUGAAUCCAAGGAGGUUUUUAUUGAAGAAGUGCAACCAGUAGAAGGUGAAACUGGCUUGCAGGGUGAUAAACAUGGAUUGAAGACGGUUGCUGUGAAUGACAAUGCAGUGUCAUCGUCCAAAGCAGACACUGAAAUGGAAAAAUAUCAGCCUCUUCAGAAGGAUAAUGAUGACUGCCUAAUGAUGUCCAAUUCAUUGCACAAAGCAACUAAUUCAAGCACACAAAUACUGUCAGAGGAAGGCACACUUGCUGCUGGAAAUCUCUCUCUGGAGCCUGUGUUAGAGAUGGAAUGUCAAAAUUCUGAUACAUUUGAAACUGAGCAUGUGCAAGUUCCAUUGAAGAAAUUGGACCCAGAAGCUCUUGCCAGCUCAUCAUCCUUCCACUCAUCAAGCAUUUCUGCAGGGGAGUUGAGCAGUGUGCUGAAGCACUAUGGCCUUGGUUGUCAAGAUGAGAAUGAAAAGCCUUUGCCUGCUGAGGCGUACUUUGGUUCUGCUCGCUUGUGGCCAUGGGAGAUCAUCCACUACAGGAGGUUGAAGAAGGGCCUUAUCUCCAUUGAGAACUAUGCUAGGCGGGUUGAUCAGAAUAGGGAAUUUGGUAUUGUUGACAAAUAUAUUAGAAGCAGUAGUGGUUGGGGAGAAUUACAUCAAGAGAACCUGUGAAAGGUUUUGUUUGUCAAAAUGUGGAUUUAUUUUUGCCUUCUUAGAACCUCAGCAUUUUGGACACAUCGUGAAUCUAGCCCUGCUCUUAUUUUGAGCAGAAGAGUUGAACAGAUUUUAGACGUGCUCACAGUCACAGCAUAACACUUGGUUUGGAGAAAAGUGCCAGCUUCUUGCAAUCUCUUUUACAUUUGGUUCAAGAACUGCUGGUAUUUGUGUGUGAACGUCAAAUUUGAAAUAUGGUCACCCCUUCACCCCGAGUGGUGGACUUCUAAUUAUCAUCAUCUCUCUGUUGCUGUGUUUUUUUGAGCUCAGAUUAUCCAUCAUUUAGAAAAUUGAAAGCUCUUCUCGGUUUAGAGCUGUUGUUUUUGUAAGGUACUAUAUAGACACCGCAUUUUGACUAAUAAUUUGAGGAUUCCAUGUAUCCGCUGGCUAGUUUAGCAUUUGAUUUGCUAUGGUCUCCUGUGAGGAUAAGCAUUGUUAAUAUCCUUGUAUCUCGAUCCACCUUGAGUGAAAAAGAAAACAGAAUGUUCCCGGGCUAUGAUCAGCAGUAAUCGUCAAGCACACUAGAAAGAAAUAGCAAUUAUUUGUUCCCAGCAUGUGGGGUUUCGUUCACAAGGAUGGAUGAUUGGAUAUGGAUGAAAAUUCAGAAACAACAGAUAGGGAUGUGAUGUGAUUAGAAUGAUAAAUCCUGAACUUAGAUUGUCAUCCCUAGAUUUGGCAUGGAUUUAUUUUCUCUCUAGAUUUGUAUUAGAUUUUUCUUUGAGAAAACAGAGACAAAUAUAUAUUUAUAAAUUGAGUGCUUUGGUCUGAAA